rnacentral:misc_RNA from 1 species
UACGAGGGGUGCUAACGUUAUUCGGAAUUACUGGGCGUAAAGGGUGCGUAGACGGUUUUGCAAGUCAAUUAUAAAAUCUUUCGGCUUAACUGGAAGUUCGUAAUUGAAACUGCAUUACUUGAGGACAGAAGAGAGAAGUGGAAUUCUCGGAGUAGCGGUAAAAUGCGUAGAUCUCGAGAGGAACACCGAUGGCGAAGGCAGCUUCUUGGUCUGUUUCUGACGUUGAUGCACGAAAGCGUGGGGAGCAAACAGG